AGAGUUUGAUCAUGGCUCAGAUUGAACGCUGGCGGCAGGCCUAACACAUGCAAGUCGAACGGUAACAGAAAGCAGCUUGCUGCUUUGCUGACGAGUGGCGGACGGGUGAGUAAUGUCUGGGAAACUGCCUGAUGGAGGGGGAUAACUACUGGAAACGGUAGCUAAUACCGCAUAACGUCGCAAGACCAAAGAGGGGGACCUUCGGGCCUCUUGCCAUCGGAUGUGCCCAGAUGGGAUUAGCUAGUAGGUGGGGUAAAGGCUCACCUAGGCGACGAUCCCUAGCUGGUCUGAGAGGAUGACCAGCCACACUGGAACUGAGACACGGUCCAGACUCCUACGGGAGGCAGCAGUGGGGAACAUUGCACAAUGGGCGCAAGCCUGAUGCAGCCAUGCCGCGUGUAUGAAGAAGGCCUUCGGGUUGUAAAGUACUUUCAGCGGGGAGGAAGGGAGUAAAGUUAAUACCUUUGCUCAUUGACGUUACCCGCAGAAGAAGCACCGGCUAACUCCGUGCCAGCAGCCGCAGUAAUACGGAGGGUGCAAGCGUUAAUCGGAAUUACUGGGCGUAAAGCGCACGCAGGCGGUUUGUUAAGUCAGAUGUGAAAUCCCCGGGCUCAACCUGGGAACUGCAUCUGAUACUGGCAAGCUUGAGUCUCGUAGAGGGGGGUAGAAUUCCAGGUGUAGCGGUGAAAUGCGUAGAGAUCUGGAGGAAUACCGGUGGCGAAGGCGGCCCCCUGGACGAAGACUGACGCUCAGGUGCGAAAGCGUGGGGAGCAAACAGGAUUAGAUACCCUGGUAGUCCA
rnacentral:rRNA from 1 species